AGCAUUUACUGUUGCCGUUUAUAAAACAUUGCUAAAAGCCCGACAAACUUUUGCAUGCGUUAAACAUACAUUAAGAAGAAACGAAACUUAAUAGACACAAUAAACACGAUUUAGAAAUUAUUAUAGAUUACCGUUCACCUGAACGAUGAGCCCUAAGUCUAAUUGGCGACGAGAAGCAUAAUUGGAUAUAAAUGAAUAUAGCGAUACAUGUAUAUUGACUGCAAAGGUACCAGAGUACAAUACCAAUGUUUUCUACCCGGUUUUACAGAUUUACAUGUUUUUGUUAAUCACUCCAGGCAACUCAACAAAUGAUGCAAUUCGACCUUUCUUGUACAUUCCCAUUGGCCUUCUCAAUUUCCAUGAGUAAUGUGU